UCGAGCGCUACCUUCGGGUGGAGCGGCGGACGGGUUAGUAACGCGUGGGAACAUACCCUUUUCUACGGAAUAGCCUCGGGAAACUGAGAGUAAUACCGUAUAAGCCCUUCGGGGGAAAGAUUUAUCGGGAAAGGAUUGGCCCGCGUUAGAUUAGAUAGUUGGUGGGGUAAUGGCCUACCAAAGCUACGAUCUAUAGCUGGUUUUAGAGGAUGAUCAGCAACACUGGGACUGAGACACGGCCCAGACUCCUACGGGAGGCAGCAGUGGGGAAUCUUAGACAAUGGGCGAAAGCCUGAUCUAGCCAUGCCGCGUGAGUGAUGAAGGUCUUAGGAUCGUAAAGCUCUUUCGCUAGGGAUGAUAAUGACAGUACCUAGUAAAGAAGCCCCGGCUAACUCCGUGCCAGCAGCCGCGGUAAUACGGAGGGGGCUAGCGUUGUUCGGAAUUACUGGGCGUAAAGCGUACGUAGGCGGAUCAGAGAGUAUGGGGUGAAAUCCCAGGGCUCAACCCUGGAACUGCCUCAUAAACUCCUGGUCUUGAGUUCGAGAGAGGUGAGUGGAAUUGCGAGUGUAGAGG
rnacentral:rRNA from 1 species